rnacentral:rRNA from 1 species
GAUGAACGCUAGCGACAGGCUUAACACAUGCAAGUCGAGGGGCAGCAUAGAAGUAGCAAUACUUUGGUGGCGACCGGCGCACGGGUGAGUAACGCGUAUGCAACCUACCUAUCAGAGGGGAAUAACCCGGCGAAAGUCGGACUAAUACCGCAUAAAACAGGGGCACCGCAUGGUGAUAUUUGUUAAAGAAAUUCGCUGAUAGAUGGGCAUGCGUUCCAUUAGGUAGUUGGUGAGGUAACGGCUCACCAAGCCGACGAUGGAUAGGGGAACUGAAAGGUUGGUCCCCCACACUGGGACGGAGACACGGACCAGACUCCUACGGGAGGCAGCAGUGAGGAAUAUUGGUCAAUGGGCGGGAGCCUGAACCAGCCAAGUCGCGUGAAGGAAGAAGGAUCUAUGGUUCGUAAACUUCUUUUGCAGGGGAAUAAAGUGCAGGACGUGUCCUGUUUUGUAUGUACCCUGAGAAUAAGGAUCGGCUAACUCCGUGCCAGCCGCCGCAGUAAUAC